ensembl:lncRNA
CUGAACUCUGUCCAUGUAGCACCUCUUGUCACUCAAGGCUCCUGAACUCUGUCCAUGCUGAACCAUUUCAAACACAACUCAUGCAAAGACAAUACUUUGGAAUUGUUUACGAUUUUAUUUCCAAUAUUCUGUCACGUAUCGUAUAUCCCCACUCAUAGUGACGUUUUUGGGGUCAAGUUAUAAACUGUAAAUUGGCAUUAGGUCAAAUAGUGUCUGAUAACAUGACUUAGAGGAAGAUAAUGGAUCACAAAACAUAGAUGGAUGGCAUUUGAAUGGUGCAAACCUGAGGACAUCCCUGAGCAACCAUGCUUGUCAGCUUAUGCAUACCAUCCAAUUUCUAUUUGGCAGAUCACCUGAAGAUAUUGCAAGGCAUUGAUGUAGAACUUGAAAGAACAGAUAACAUGAUGAUAGGAACGCUUUCAUUAGCAUUAGAGACACUUCUGUCGAGUUUCCAUCUAAGAUAUACCCUGGUGGGGGUUUUUUCUUCAAAAUAUGGUAUGUCUGCCUGUGGUCCUGUUCCAGCCUGCAUCAUUUGUCACCCUGGCGGGCCGCUCUGUGAGCCCCUAUAUGAACUUCCUCGCCCCUAUACCCCUCCACCCGUCCCACGGGUUUCAUUCAAUGGGAUGGGCGCACACAGGAGUAAACAAACACAGACAUUAGCACACAGAGAAACAGAGAGGUCGGCGACUUUCGCCAGCCGUCUGAGGAGAGGAUUAGGUGUCUGAUGAGAGUUUCUGCUGACAGACUGUGUGACGACGCUCAGAUCCAUUGAUACCCACUGUCUCUCACAUCUUCCAUCGCACCCAAACACAUCAACACAGUCAUAUCAUACCAUAUCAAACCACAGAGGAUUUGACCUCCUGACAGAUACACCUCAACAUAAUAUAAGACAGCAUUUCCCAAACGCUGUCCUGGGGAACCCAAAGGGUCCACGUUUUGGUAGUUUCCCCCUAGCACUCCACAGCUGAUUCAAAGCUUGAUGAUUAGUUCAUUAUUUGAAUCAGCUGUGUAGUGCUAGUUCAUCAACCAAAACGUGCACUCCUUCGGGUACAGAGGACCAAGUUCGGAAAACCCGUGGCUAGUACUUUUCAGACCGCGCUCGUAGAAAAUGUGUCCAACUAGCCUGGCCGGUUAGUGCCGUUUUGGACCAGGGCUAGUAAAAAUUGCAGUCUACUAGCCCUGCUGCCCAGUGCCUAAAAUCGUUAAAUAAUCCAGUGAGUCUGGGUCUUCCAACGCUCAGACAUAUCUCAGCAUCUCACCAUUGUCAGCUAUACAAAUUAUUGUACAAAUGAUGGUACAAAUUAUUUUACCGAAAAGGGGCCUUUUGAAUUAUGAUCUGAUGGCCACAGAACUUACUGUGGUGGAAUGAAUAAGAGAGGCAUAAUGUUAAAUGAGAAUAUGUGCUAUCAUUUAGGAGCACGGAGAGAGCAGGUGUACGACAGUUCUGCAGGUGCAGACAGGUGUAGAUGCAGGUGCUUAACAGCCAGUGAAGCCUGGAUGAACAGGACAGGUAUUCCAUUCCACUGAGACUGUAUGUGUAUCUCUAAGUCAGUGGCAUGCAGCACUGAUGAAGGAAAUAUUAUGGUUUCCAGACGUGUGGGGAAUACAUUGGCAUCAUCUCUUAUAUGAAGGAAAGCUAGCCUCCCUCCAUUACACCUGCCAUGGUUUAUACAGAUGCUGAGUGCAGUGGGGGCUCUGCUUUGUGAAACAGUCUUGAAGUGACACACAACGAGAUGAGCUUAAGGUUGAUGAUACAUUACAUCACAUCUCAAACCCGCCGAUCAAGCCUCAGAGUCAGGAAGGGGGAACACGCAGGCCCUGUGUGGGUUAAACCAAACAAAGUGUAGGAGUAAAACCCAUACCCACUGUAGGCCACACUGCCAGGUAUAUAUAUAUAUAUAUAUUUCUUUUUACACACACACACACACACACACACACACACACACACACACACACACACACACACACACACACACACACACACACACACACACACACACACACACACGCAACCCCUCUCAACCACUACUGGGCUCUUAGGUCCAGUAGAUAGAGACGGGGGUCGGUGUACAUAAGACCUGUAGAUUCCAUUGACCUUUCACCUUUUACAUUUCUCAGACAAACUGUCAAACUGUAAGCUUUUGUCUCUUUCUCUCUCUGAGACAGUGAUGGAUAUUUGGGGUAAAGGAAACAGAGACAAUCAGUGGCUGGCAUUUUAUUGGUAGCCAGCUUUCUGUGGUCAUGUCCGUUGCUGAAACAGAAGAUUUUAUCAGAUCGCAAGUCAAGAUUGGACAUUUUCGGUGCACUCAGGUGUCAACUGUUGGAGCUGACAGGAGUUUAUGAACGGUGAGGGAUCUGAGAACAAGCCCCCACAAGCCCCCAGAGAUAGUAAGAACAGGUCGCCUCAAGGCUGUUCUGUUGGCACACCGACACCCCUAUAACCUGCUUGUACACACACCUACACAGGUGCACAAGAACACAAGUGCACACAAGUACAGAAAAAAAUGGCUAAUUCUAAUGCAAUUGAUUUAGUAUUUGACUGAAAUAUAUGAUUGACAGCACAGGAGGCAGUUUAAGAAAACAGUUUAACCAGUUUAGACUGACAUAAAAACAAAAGUAUAGACUUCACACACAUGCUCAAGGGCUUUAAAAAUAAGACACCUGUACCAUGUUUGAUACAGAGUUGAAAUACAUUACAUUUUGAGUUUGCAUCCCAAUAUUACACUUUAUAUACGUCACAGAAGACGGAAAUCUAACAAAAACAACAGAUUUUCUGCAAAAUAAAAAAGUGUAUUAAUUAUGAAAGAUAUUAACAUUCCACCCAUGAAACCGACACUAAGUCAAUUGACUGCAGGAAAGGGCUAUGGACUGAAUUCAAUCCAUAUCGCAGAUGUAUCGCACAACAUUUCCGUUGUAGCUCGAUUGCAUUCGUGGAGACUGAAUUCACUGUAAAUGUUGCCGGCUCAAUCGAAAAUGACCUUUACAUUUUGACACAGAUCUCCCGCGAUACGGAUUGAAUCAAGACCUAAGUCGUUUACAGGAUCCCUUCCAUUAAACUACACACUCCCCCUGAUCCUGUGUCUUUGUGGACAGUGAGAUAGGUGCUAUGCCUGCCUGCCUGCCCAUUUAUUCAUAUCGGUACCGGCGGUCUGAGGACAUGCCUGCCUUACGCCUGGGGCUGGGAACUAUUGCUCAACAGAAUGUGAUUAAAAUCAAUAAAUCUCCCACUACACCUGCUCCAUUGCUCACUGCAGACAUCCACACACCUGCCUGAUAAAAUGACUGUACUGCAGGGAGAGAGGGAGAGAUGGAGAUAAAUAUGUAGAGAGAGAGUGAGAGAAAUAGAGAGAGAGAGUUGUAAAGAGAGAGACGGAGAGAAACAAAGAGAGAGAAACAAAGAGAAACAGAUAGGGGUUUAGAAAGGGGAAAAGAGACUAGAUCAAUGAUAUAAAACUUGAUCCCCCAUCUUGAGCAAAAGGUUUAAAAUACACAAGAACAAAGUCAUAUCAAUCAGUAAAAAAACGGUUGUCAGCUAGAUGGGGGCGUGUGGAGUCGGGUGGCAAACAGAGAGUGAACAUGUUGGUUGAUGUCGGGGUGCCCAGCAGUGUGACCUGGGGCAAAGUUGUACUCUCAGUAAGUGAGGAGAUUAGGGGAACCGGCGCGUGUUAUAGGUUAUGGCGCGUGCUACGGUGAAUUAGGGAGGAGGCGGCAGGCAGCAGGUGCACUGUUGACACAAUAAACAUACACACGGACAAAGCCAAACUCUAAAUUAGUCAUCCAGCUCGCAGCACAGGGAGGAGAGGGAGAGGGCCAGGGGAAUGACACAGUUGCAUUUGUUUCAUAAGGCAUGCCACAGGAGGAGGUGGCCUUUGGUGCCGCUGCCUGCCUGCCUGCCUUCCCUCUCUUUGUCUUGCCAUCUCAGCUGUUCAUCCCUCUGACAGCCCGCUUAGACGUUAAACAUGUCAAUAAAGCACUGUUAGAGAGAAAAGGACAGAGAGGAACAGGGAGAGGAAAUAGGAUGAGAUGAAGAGCGAUAAGAAAUGACAGAGAAAGAGAGAGUCAAGCAGCUAGUUCGACAUGGCAGCCGACAGUACAGCCGACAGUACGAGCGACAGUACAGCUGACAGUACGAGCGACAGUACAGCCGACAGUACAGCCGACAGUACAGCCGACAGUACAGCCGACACCAGUACAGACAGUACAGCCGACAGUACAGCCGACAGUACAG